GGAGUUAGGAAAUGUAAGUCCGAUAAUACCGGAUUUACUUGACAAAGGCUCCAGAGGAAGCCACGGCUAACUCUGUGCCAGCAGCCGCGGUAAUACAGAGGUGGCAAGCGUUGUUCGGAAUUAUUGGGCGUAAAGAGCACGUAGGUGGAUUUGUAAGUCAGAUGUGAAAGCCUUUUGUCCAACGGAAGAAUUGCAUCUGAAACUGCGAACCUUGAGUGUAGGAGGGGAGAGUGGAACUUCUG
rnacentral:rRNA from 1 species